AGUGGUAUAGCUGGGUCACAUGGUGGUUCCAUUCCAAGUUUCCUAAGGAAUCUCCAUAUUGCUUUCCAGAUUGGUUGCACCAAUUUGUAGUCCCACCAGCCAU
rnacentral:pre_miRNA from 1 species